rnacentral:rRNA from 1 species
UACGUAGGGGGCUAGCGUUGUCCGGAAUCAUUGGGCGUAAAGCGCGUGUAGGCGGCCCGGUAAGUCCGCUCUGAAAGUCGGGGGCUCAACCCUCGGAUGCGGGUGGAUACUGUCGGGCUUGAGUGCGGAAGAGGCGAGUGGAAUUCCUGGUGUAGCGGUGAAAUGCGCAGAUAUCAGGAGGAACACCAAUUGCGAAGGCAGCUCGCUGGGACGUCACUGACGCUGAGACGCGAAAGCGUGGGGAGCAAACAGG